rnacentral:hammerhead_ribozyme from 1 species
AUCCAGUUGACGAGUCCCAAAUAGGACAAAAUGAGCAUCCUGGAU